GAUGAACGCUGGCGGCGUGCCUAAUACAUGCAAGUCGAGCGAACAGACGAGGAGCUUGCUCCUCUGACGUUAGCGGCGGACGGGUGAGUAACACGUGGAUAACCUACCUAUAAGACUGGGAUAAUUUCGGGAAACCGGAGCUAAUACCGGAUAAUAUAUUGAACCGCAUGGUUCAAUAGUGAAAGACGGUUUUGCUGUCACUUAUAGAUGGAUCCGCGCCGCAUUAGCUAGUUGGUAAGGUAACGGCUUACCAAGGCAACGAUGCGUAGCCGACCUGAGAGGGUGAUCGGCCACACUGGAACUGAGACACGGUCCAGACUCCUACGGGAGGCAGCAGUAGGGAAUCUUCCGCAAUGGGCGAGAGCUUGACGGAGCAACGCCGCGUGAGUGAUGAAGGUCUUCGGAUCGUAAAGCUCUGUUAUUAGGGAAGAACAAAUGUGUAAGUAGCUAUGCAGGUCUUGACGGUACCUGAUCAGAAAGCCACGGCUAACUACGUG
rnacentral:rRNA from 1 species